rfam:Lactobacillus senioris DSM 24302 = JCM 17472 strain DSM 24302 NODE_28, whole genome shotgun sequence.
AUUCGAUGUAGAGGCGCAGACAAUAUUAGUAGCUAAUCGGAGCUGGAAAAGCAGCUGUGAGGAUUAGUCAAAGGAGCGUUUGCCGAAAUUACCAUUUGCUUUUCAAAUUGGUAGUUGGGUCUUGGCUGAAUAGGUCAAGGACUGUCGUAGUUCAUAACUACGGAGUGCUAUCUGAGAU